rnacentral:tRNA from 1 species
UCCCUGAUUGUCCAGUGUUUAGGACCCAGAGCUUCCACUGCAGAGGGCCCAGGUUCAAUCCCUGGUCAGGGAA